rnacentral:lncRNA from 1 species
AUGUUCUAUAUUCAGACUUUCAAUUUCAAAACCUUUUCUUCAGUUUCAAAUACUUUUUCACUUUCAACUCCUUUUAUCCCCGUUUUCAAAUCUGAAAAUUUCAGUUUCAAAACUUUUGGCCCCGUUGUGGUACGUUGGGACGGGGCUAGCACCAAGGACCAAUCAGAAUCGAUGAGGGGGGCAACUUCAGUCCCGGUGCAUUUACUGACUUUGAGAACUGGAAUACUUGCGUUCAGAAAAUGGCUGUAUUGUCUGUACUAUCAUAGUCUGAAGUUGUCCCAAGGCAAGAGUAACAAGCAGAGUUUUAUUUUCCUGUUUCUAGCUCAUCUUUCACAUCAUGCAGCAAAUGCCAUCUUCUAAGACGCGACACGCUGAAGCAGGAGCAAACAGAAGGUGGCGCUGGCUGUGCACACAGCAAACCAGGGACAGUUUGGACUAACUGUAUAACAGGAGAAAGGUUUGCUACUCUGAGGGGCUUGCUUGUAUUUGUGGAUUAACACAGAGUGUCAUUUCACUGGAGAACUUUCUGUGCAUCUGCAGCUCUUCCUCGCCCAGCUCCAGCUCUGCUCCAAGUUCGCUCUGCAGGUCCAUCUCACUGUUCUUCCACAUUUCCGUCUCUGCAUCGUCCUCCUGGUGUUGAUACCAGCCAGACCUGCUCCUUUUUACAAAAACAUUCAGGCGCAAAUUAAAAAAGCUGACAUAGAGGCCGAGCUGCAACCAGCACGACUGUCUUAUCUUACUUAAUGUUUGUCUUCUACAUGCAGUUUCUCCUUCCUUAAAGGAAGAAACUAAGACUUCGAAACUUUUGGGCUUCAAAAUGUGAAGACUUACCAUUUGUAGAUGCGCACAGCUCCUGCUGCCAUCAGGAGGAAAACCCCCACUAGAGUGAUGAUGACUGCAGGAACAGUUUGGAGGGACAACAUCAAAAGAGAGCUGGAGCAGUGCACUGCUAGUAAUCAGAUUACAUCUUCUAACAAGAGACCAAUCAGGGAUAUUUUGUUAUUU